GAUGAACGCUGGCGGCGUGCUUAACACAUGCAAGUCGAACGGAAAGGCUCCUGCUUGCAGGGGUACUCGAGUGGCGAACGGGUGAGUAACACGUGGGUGAUCUGCCCUGCACUUCGGGAUAAGCCUGGGAAACUGGGUCUAAUACCGGAUAGGACGAUGGUUUGGAUGCCAUUGUGGAAAGUUUUUCGGUGUGGGAUGAGCUCGCGGCCUAUCAGCUUGUUGGUGGGGUAAUGGCCUACCAAGGCGUCGACGGGUAGCCGGCCUGAGAGGGUGUACGGCCACAUUGGGACUGAGAUACGGCCCAGACUCCUACGGGAGGCAGCAGUGGGGAAUAUUGCACAAUGGGCGCAAGCCUGAUGCAGCGACGCCGCGUGAGGGAUGACGGCCUUCGGGUUGUAAACUCCUUUCGCUAGGGACGAAGCGCAAGUGACGGUACCUGGAGAAGAAGCACCGGCUAACUACGUG
rnacentral:rRNA from 1 species